UACGGAGGAUGCAAGCGUUAUCCGGAUUUAUUGGGUUUAAAGGGUGCGCAGGUUGUUUGAUAAGUCAGUGGUGAAAGUCUGUCGCUUAACGGUAGGAUUGCCAUUGAUACUGUUGGACUUGAAUAUGGAUGAGGUAGGCGGAAUGUGUAGUGUAGCGAUGAAAUGCAUAGAUAUUACACAGAACACCGAUUGCGAAGGCAGCUUACUAAUCCAUCAUUGACGCUGAGGCACGAAAGCGUGGGGAUCAAACA
rnacentral:rRNA from 1 species